GCCUUGGUUGGUUGUGUGGCUACUGGAUGUCAGCCUGACUUCUGAGUGAAGGUCUGUUAAAGUGCUUUGGGAUGAGGAUAACGUUCUGGACGUCUCCACGACUCACCUGCUGCAGAGCAGAGCAUGGCAUGUGGAAUCUACUUAGCAAACAUCGAACUGGCAGGGGAAAGGUUGUUUCCUAGUUUAUCUGGACCAGAAGCACACAGAAUCUUGACUGUACCUUUAACAGUUAGGAAAAAACAAAACAAAACAAAACAAACAAACAAACAAAAAAAACAAGCAUGGAAAACAAGCUCUCAAAGGAAGUAUGAAUGAGAACUUUAAGUGUCAACAUCAUCCUUUAAUCAAUGUUGAAUACUCCUCCUCCUCUGGCAGUAAUAUAC
ensembl:lncRNA